rnacentral:misc_RNA from 1 species
GACAAACCCUAACCCUACGGGCGCCGACGACGAGGACGCGGCCGGAGCCGGAAGCCCCCUCGUCACUGCGCGGCUUUCUUCCCCUCAUUCAUCUCAGAAAUUGUCUCGAAUAUAGCUUAACCAUGGUUGCUACGGCGGCUACCGCCUCAGCGUUUUUUCCCACUCUAUCGUCUUCUCCGGCGAGCGGAAAAUCUUCGAUGAACAAUGGAGGCCCGGAGAGUCUGGACACCCGUGGGUUGAUGUUCAAGCCCAAUUCAUCGUCCAGGGGAUUGCAGGUGAAGGCGAACGCUCAGACCGUUCCGAAGAUCAACGGGACGAAGGUCGGUAAGGUUGCCGAAGAUGUGCCAUCUUACAUGCCGAGGACGUUUUACAACCAAUUGCCCGAUUGGAGUAUGCUGCUUGCUGCUAUCACGACGAUAUUCUUGGCGGCAGAGAAGCAGUGGACGUUAAUCGAUUGGAAGCCGAGGCGUCCGGACAUGCUGGCGGACACUUAUGGAUUGGGGA